UUAAUUGAGCAAUAAAAGAUCAAUCUGUAAAUAAUAGUUUUGGUUUCAGAAACUGAUUCGUAAAAAAAUAUUUUUUGUUUUGGAAAAACUUCAAAUACCACCUCUGUGGUUUCACACUUUCUCACCUUAGUACUCUGUGAUUUAAAGUGUAUCAAUUUAAUAACUUGUGGUUUCAUUUCUAUCUUUUUAUUAUCGAUUUCACUAAUUUUUUUCGUUAAAUCAGUGACAAAGUUAAAACUAAAGGGUACUAAAGUGAAUAUUUGAUAAACCUAGGUGGGGAAUCUAAAAUUUUAUAUAUAUAAUUUAACGAAAUAUUAACGAAAAAGCUGAUAAAAAGAAAAAAAUAAAAUCACAUGACACUAACUUGACAUACUUUAAAUCACAGGGUACUAAAGUGAGAAAGUGCAAAACUACAGGGGUGGUAUUUGAAGUUUACCUAUUUUUUAUCCAUAAAUUAGAUCUGUGUGAUUUAAGCGUCAUUGGACUUGUCUUAAAAAUACAAAUAGGAUCAUAUGGUCUAGUUUUCUAGUUUUAUUGUAUAAUUUUUACAAGAUUUUUAAAAGUUAAAAAUUUUGGAACAUACUGGACUUUUGCAAAUUGCGAGGUUCGAGUGUUUGAGUUGUGUUACGAGUUUUUCCAACUUUUCU
rnacentral:lncRNA from 1 species